rnacentral:rRNA from 1 species
AGCACCUACGGGAGGCAGCAGUGGGGAAUAUUGCGCAAUGGGCGAAAGCCUGACGCAGCGACGCCGCGUGAGGGAUGAAGGUUUUCGGAUCGUAACCCUCUGUCAGAAGGGAAGAAAGUGCGUGGUGCUAAUCAGCCGCGCAUUGACGGUACCUUCAAAGGAAGCACCGGCUAACUCCGUGCCAGCAGCCGCGGUAAUACGGAGGGUGCGAGCGUUAAUCGGAAUUACUGGGAGUAAAGCGCACGUAGGCUGUUGUGUAAGUCAGGGGUGAACUCC